rnacentral:rRNA from 1 species
CCCUGAGAGAUGAUCAGGUAGAUAGGUCAGGAGUGGAAGUACAGUGAUGUAUGGAGCGGACUGAUACUAAUCGAUCGAGGACUUAACCACA